CCUAACUAGAUAAUUAUGAGUUAAUUGAGGAAUUAUAUUAUUAUAUAGUUCAAUAUAUGUGAAAUUAUAUGAAAUUUUAACAUGUUAAGACCCCGUUGGUGAGCUAGGGGCAUUUUGGUAAUUAUGACCCGAGAAGGGUAAAUUGAUGAAAUUAAUUUAAUUACGUGCUUAAUAGAACUAUAUUAUUAUAUAGUAUGCCUGUGUUGUCUUUUCAGGUGUGUUCUGACAGGGUGGCGCGGUAUAGUCACAACCGGGUAUUUCGGGCCGAACUGGGUUCGGGCCCGAAAUGAAAAUUAGAUUGAAUUAAUUGGCAUUUUAAUUGAUAUUUGAUAAUUUGAAAUUUAAUUGGGUUUGAAAUUGUGUGUUAAUGCCAUUUUUGCCCUUGUAUGUUUAAAGUGGAAGUUAUAUGGCCCUAAGGGCAUUUUAGUAAUUUGGCUUUAUGAGAUAAGUGUGUGAAAUGGCAUUUUUGACAAAAAAAGAAAAUAGAAUUUUCUGGUUGUAACUCUCUUGGCCGACCCCCCCUCUCUCUCUCAAACCCUUUUCUUUUUCAAUUUUGAUUUUUGAAGAAAUUGCUUGGUUUUGGCCUUGAAUUGAAGCUUUGAGUUUGUAGAUUUUUGAGCUUGUUCUUGGAUUGAGUUUGAGGAUUACCGGCACCUGAUCAGGAGCACCCGGGGAUUUGGAAUCUCCUUCUAUAGCUGGACAACAGGAAAGGGUAAGGCAUUAGCUGAUCUGCCAUGAGUUUUCAGGAGCAGGACGAAGAAUGUACAUGUUCACGCCACUUCAGACCAAGCGGGUUAUGGGUCUAACAGUGUUGACUUUUGUAUUCUGUUUUGCCGCUUAGGUCGGCUAGUAAGAAAGAACUUGUAAUAAUUUUGUAAAUAUUUUUGGGAUCCCAACUAUGUUUGAAAAGUUUAAAUAUAUUACAAGUUUAU